CAAUUUGGGCUCAUGACCUUGGUAAGGGGGCUCUCCUAAAAAGAAAAGGUUGAAGUUCAAUUGCCAAUUCUCCUUUCUCUCUCUAAAACCCCCUUUUCCCAAAUUCGUUUCUGCCUUCUCUCUAGCCUCCACACUGAUUUAGCCAUUGCAUGUUCUGUUAGGUGGUACCCUAGCGACCGUCUCGUAGAAAGCUUCAAAACCAUCCGAUUGAUUUUACGUUCUUCAACCGGGCACUGCUUAAGUUCUUCCCGGAGUAGGAUACUGUUGAAAGUUGUGUUGUGUGCUAGACUGCUCAACUUUAAGUAGGUGAUGAUGUACCUUUGGAGCAAGCUUUGGAAGUUGAGGAAGACCCAGCCCCUAGUGCUUAGGAUUUCUACUAGCUCUUAUUUUUAAACAGUUCUUUAUUUUGAAAGACUUCUAGCCUUCAUGUUAUCAUAAUCUGCAUUUUUGGAGAAUUAUGAACUUGUACUUAAGUUUUAAAACUUCCCAGCCUGACUUGGAUAACUGUACUCCUUAAUUCUAUCUAUUGUGUACUCUUAACUACUUUCUAUUA